rfam:TPA: Bos taurus chromosome 9, whole genome shotgun sequence.
AAAAUGGUCUUAUUCAAGACCAUUCCAGUGUUAACCAGAAGUGUCAU